rnacentral:rRNA from 1 species
UACAGAGGUCCCGAGCGUUGUUCGGAUUCACUGGGCGUAAAGGGUGCGUAGGUGGCAUUGUAAGUUUGAUGUGAAAGCUCAGGGCUUAACCCUGAAAUGGCAUUGAAUACUGCGGUGCUGGAGGUUUGGAGGGGGGACUGGAAUUCUUGGUGUAGCAGUGAAAUGCGUAGAUAUCAAGAGGAACACCAGUGGCGAAGGCGAGUCCCUGGACAACACCUGACACUGAGGCACGAAAGCCGGGGGAGCAAACAAG